rnacentral:sRNA from 1 species
AUUUUUGUAGUAUAUUAUAGCAUGGAGGUGCUGUAAUUUAACCCUGUCUGCUUUUGAUAGACAUUUAGAUUAUUGGUAAGUUUUUCAUUAUGAGAAACAAAGGAAUAAUGAACAUUCUUAUUACACGUUGUUUCAUAUCUAUGUGAGUACUGCCUUAGUGCUUUUUUAGGGUAGGAAGAGUUGGUGGAAUUCCAUGGUCCUUUGGUAUGUGAAAUAGUCAUGGUGUGCAUAAGUUGUCAUGGAGAAAAGGAUCAAGACAUGUCCCCGUCCCUCUUUUCCGCAUCAUCUAUUGUUAUCCACCUCAGAUUGCAUUGGAAUUGUUAUUAUAGGGGUCAUUGUCAUUCGAAGAUGUGGCUGUGGGCUUCACCAGGGAGGAGUGGCAGUUUUUGGACCAGUCUCAGAAGGUCUUGUAUAAGGAAGUAAUGUUGGAGAACUACAGCAACCUAGUAUCAGUAGGUAAGGACAGCAUUGCAGUCACUUACCUUUUCUUUCUUAUUUGGUGACCACUGUAUGGUCCUGUAAAUAUUUAAUGGUUUAGUCUAAAGCAUUGUAUGUUAUAGAUUUUUUGUUGUGGUGGUAAAAUAUAUAACAUAAAAUUUACCGUCUUAACCAUAAGCGUGCAGUUCAGUGGGUUAAAUGCACUCAUAGUGCUCAUAGUGUUAUGCACCCACCAGCACUACCUUCUGUCUUCUAAAACUGAAACUCUGUACCCACAAAACAACAACUACCCAUUCCCCAACUUCUCCCCAUCCCCUGGCGACCACCAUUCACUUUCUGUCUUUAGGAUUUUGACUUCUCUAAGUACCUCAUAUAAGUGGAAUUAUAUAGUGUCUGUCUUUUUGUGCCUGGCUUAUUUCACUUAGUAUGAUGUUCUCAAGGUUUAUCCAUGUUGUAGCAUGUGCCAGAAUUUCCUUUUUAAGGCUGAAUAAUAUUCUUUUGUGUGUGUAUACCACCUUUUGCUUAUCCACUUAUCUGUUAAGGAAUACUGGGUUGCUUCCAUGUUUUAGUGCUUGUGAAUCAUGUUGCUAUGAAUAUGGGUGUACAAAUAUCUCUUUGAGACCCUGCUUUCCGUUCUUUGGGGUAUAUACCCAGAAGUGGAAUUGCUGGGUGAUACAGUCAUUCCAUUGUUGAUUUUUUGAGGAACAGUUUUCCACAAUAUCAGUACUAUUUUACAUUCCCACCAAGAGUACACAGGGUCCCAGUUUCUCCACAUCUUUGCCAACAAUUGUUAUUUUGUGUUUUUGUUUGUUUGUUUAUUUGUUUGAUAGUAGCCAUCCUAAUGGGUAUGGGUGUGUCGCAGACUUUUAUUUUCCUCCCCGGCACAAAGUGGUUGUGCUCUUUUCCUGAAUGAAAGAGUUUUGCUUUAUCAGAUUGCAAAUGCUGUGGUUCCUGAGACAUAACCCUCUCCAUCUUCAUCCAUUCCCCAAGGACACAUGCCAAGUGUUCAGUGAUCUCCCAUUUACAGGGUAUCAAGGCACCAAGCCAGAUUCGCUCUUCAAGUUGGAGCAAGGAGAACCCCCAUGGAUAGUAGAAGGAGCAGCCCACAGUCAAAUCUGUCCAGGGUAUUCAUUCAGGAGAAGGACCCUACAGAUGGAAUGAAUGCAGGAAAGCUAAGAAGAAUCACGCCUCAUUGCAGAUCUGCAUUACCUUUGGAAAACAGCAGCCUCAGAACCACAGUAGCCAUGAAAACCAUCAGCCUUCAACCACCACCCUUGUAUCAGAGGAGACAAAUAAGCUUGGAAAUCCUCAAAAAGCCUCAUCCUCAGAGCAAUGUCAUUAUAUAUCUUAUCUUACAGCUCC